UGUUGAGAGCAGUGACCUUAGCAUUGGAUGGCCAGCGUUCUCUUCAUCACACACAGAACGAUACCUUCUGGCCACACGACGCUGAAGACAGACUUUGAAAAAUGAUGCUGCCUUGAGGGCAUGGUUAGGAGGCUGCUGUCUCUUCAAUGGAUUUUGACCACCCACCAAGAUUUCCAGCAAAGUAAGGAAGGAUCCCAGCAGAAAUCUGGUUAAAGAGCAAAUUAAUCUGCUGAUGUUUCCUCAAACUUACGGUACACGAAUUGCUAUCAACAGCAUGGAUGAGAAAUCCGGCACAUACGAUUUCACUUCUGACGUACUGUGAUGAAGGUGGGACUGAUGGCAGAGUAACCGACUUCACUGCCACCGUGGUUCUUUGAAGUUAGCGUUGAAAUGUGCCAUCUUAUAAUCAUUCCCAUGGCAACAAGCUGCGAGAAGACAAACAAGCAUAGGGUUAAGACUUCACUGCAGGAAUCAAGCAGAUGGAAAAAUCAGGCUGUAAGAGAGGAAAACCUUUAUUUAAACAUAAAUAUCUUCAAGAAGAGAAUGAAGAAAUGAGAAACUGACUAAAAGCAGCUUAGAAAGGAAAGAAGUAAGUAUUUGCUUAUACCAUUUUAUUCUCUAUUUGACCUCAGUACCAAGCCUGUCUUUACAUUGAGCCUGCAGAGGAGAAGUAGGCUGUGGGCACUUAUCAAACAGAAAGCAGACUAUGAGUGUGGCUUUAGGUGGUGGCUGAGACUCACUCCAGCACAGAAUUAGCUACUUUUGCCCCCUGUACAGUCGAAGUAGCAGGAGGUUCAUUGGUAUAAAUUAAGGGAGAAGUCACCUUAUAAAAGCCUGGUGUCCAUGUGGCUCUCCAGCCUGAUGGAGCUGUGCAAUCUCAGAGGAGUGAGGGCAGGUGGUCAGAGUGAAUUCUACCACCUCAGUCAGAUUCUGGCUUUGGGGCAGCCAUGGUCAACCUUGGUAGAACCAGGGUAGAGUGGGAUGUAAGACUAGGCCAAGCACUUUUUAAGUGUUGAAUUGUUCCCCCCACCCCCCAACUCAUAUGUUAAAGUCCUACUUCUAGUACCUCAGAAUGUGACCUUAUUUGGAAACAAGGUCAUUGUAAAUAUAGUAAGUUAAGAUGAGGUUAUACUGCAGUAGAAUGGGCCCCUAGUCCAAUAUGACUGGUGUCCUUAUAAAAGGGGGCAAUUUAGACACACACACACACAUAUACACUGGGAGAAUCCCAUAUGAAGAUGAAGCAGAGGUCAGGUGAUGGAUGUACAAUCCAAGGGGUCUCAAAGAUUGACAGCAAACCAUCAGAAGCCACGGAGAGACCUGGAAUAGAUAUUCCCUCUCUCCCUCAGAAGGAAUUGAUACUGCCCACAUGUUGGUCUCAGACUUGCAGCUUCCAUAACUGCGAGACCCCCAGUUUGUGGUACUGUUACAGUGGCCCUAAGAAAUUAUCACAGCAUUUUUCCAGGAAGCUGCUCUCAGGUUGCAGACACAUGCUGCUGCUUCCUAACCUGGAGCCAAAACAAACUCCAUGCUAAGUAGCUAUCAUUAAAUUCUGCCCUUAUAGAUCUCACUAGACUUAUCCAGUGCUAAGUACCAUAUUGGAUAUUUUGAUCCUUUCCCUGAAGGUAAAAGUAACAGAAAGUCCUUCUCAUCACUCUGCUGUCAGAGUCAAUGAUGUUGAUGCAGAUGAAGCAGGCAAAGAAAGGCAGCAGGAGGUGUUGGCUCUCUUUAAACUGUGCUACUUUGGGAAAGCCAACUUUUCUUAGUGAAAAAUUCUCCAAGACCAACUCUUCAAGAAAAUGAGUUUGGGUACAUGCUUGGAAGAAUACAAUGGUUAAAUUCCAUUUGCAACCAACUCAAAUGUUUCAUCAUUUGGUGCCUAGAGAAUUAUAUUCUAUGAAAUGAAGCUUAAAGGAGGCUCAACAUUUGCUGGAGCUUGUUAACAUUUUAUUAAUGUUUUUUUUUCUCCCCUUCUAAGAUUCUAAUUAAUGGGUUUGGGUCUUAUACAAAUGGCACAAGAGGAAAUAACUCAAAAAGUUUUAGAAUUCUGUACUCUCUGUUGACACGUAUGUCAUUGAGACUAUAUUGUGGGAAGGAGGACAAAACUGGUUGUGUUUACGGAGUCAUGGGGAGAGGAGUAGAUUCCUUGGAGAUGCAUUAUAUCCCAGGAGCUAAGAGGAGGAGACUUGGUCAGGUGGAGCCCUGGGACCAGCCCCUCCCCAGCUUCAAACAGACUAGUUCUCCUCUGGUCUGUUUCCUGUAGAUUUUGUCCUGUGUAAAAGUUUUCACGUGAUCCUUGCCAUUCUGGCUGCUGGUACACUCUCAUCCACUUAUUAAAUAAAAAGCUAUGUCUGUCAAUUAAGUCUUGUACCAAUGCUGACUUUCAUCAGGAAGGCUUGGCUUAAGCUGCUCACUGUCUGGAAUGCCACUUUACCCCUCCAGCAAUUUACCCCUGUACUAUCCUCAGGGAGGAAAGAAUCGUCUCCUUUCCAAAGCUGUCUAAGCAACUCUCUUCCCUGACUUUGAUUUGCCUAAGAGCUGACUUUUGCAUUUUAAAUACUACAAUCUCUCACUUCUUUAUAAACUACCUUAAAAUUAUUCCUCAGCAGUGAUAUGUACAUGUGUGAUGCUUUCAAAAUUGACUAUCAGCUUCUUUAAGAUGAGGGUACAUAUUUUGCUUCUUGUAUUACUGCUAUUAAUUCCACCAUUACACACUGAAAAUGAAAUGUAGGUUAAAACAGUAAGUACUGCUCAAUUUCAUUACAAAUACCAACAAUUUUAGACAUUUGCCAUUUAUCAAAACAUCUAAAAAAUAAGUAUAGAUUUUUAAAACCUCAAAUAAGUAUAAUUUUAACAGACAGUUAUGUUACAAGAUUUUAUUCAGCUGAAAGGUGACGGAAAAAAUAAGUGAGCUGUAUUUUAAAGUUAAAAGCAUAUAGUGGGUGAAGGGGUUAAAACAAGCAUAUAGAAGCCUUAAAAACUUGGAGAGAGAGAGGGAUAACUCAGAAAGAAAAAAAACUAGAUUUUUAUCAUAAAUAUAAUCUAGAAAAAGGAGGGCUUCAGAUUCAACAGAGAUAACAUAAGAAUGUUUCUUCAGUUACAUAAUAUUCUCUAAUAUGUAUCUGUACAAAAGUUAAGAAUUAAUGAUUGAUGGCUUUCCUUAGACACUGUAAAAACACAUUUGUUUGUCUAGGUUGAUUUCUGGCCCCAAACUCCUAAAGAACUGAAGUUUUAAUGUUAUCUGACUUUACUAAAUAAAUAUGUUCUUGUCCUUUGUUCCAGACAAGAAGUAUCCUUUCCUACGCUUCUCAUGAAUGCUCAGAUGCUCGCAAUGAUGCAAAAAGCAGCUUUCAUAUUAAUAAAAGAAGGCAAAGUCUUGAAGCAGCUUUUAUGAGGAAUAAGGAGAAGCAAGUAGCAUUGUUAUGUUAAACCUGUGUUUUUGCACCACUGAACCAAGCAUAGAUGGAAACCUAAGUGGAUCCAAAGAAGGUAAGGAAGACCCUGAAAGGAUUCAGAAGUGAGCACCAAGACAUCAUAAAAGCAAACAACCAAAGCCAAAACAUGAAGAGGAGGUCAAGCCAGAGGUGAAACAAUCAAUGCAGUAGCAUCUGAAUUUGCUUCCAUUUCAGGGUAAGUGACCCUAUUAUUUAUUAUCUAAAUUGGAACACUUAGGCACUGUUAAUAAUUAUGAUGGGACAAUCCGGACUGUUCCAGGAAAACCAGAAAAUAUGAUAAUCCUACUUUAGAGGCUACUGUUUCAUUGAUGAUGAAAAACAGUACACAUUGAAAUAUGAGCAUAGAUAAAUGUUGGGAUUAUUGAGCAUCUCCAGAGUGGUGGGCACUGCUAUGUUCUGGAAUUAUAGGGGUGAACAAAAGGGCCUCAGAGGGUUUAUAAUCUGUUUAGUGUGGACAUCAGCUUCAGAAGAUCUCCUGAUACACCUCUGAAAUUAGAUAAAUUAAAAUCCAAAUGAUACAUGUUUAUUGAAAUUUGUUGACAUGCAAACAUUGUAAAAGGUGCUAAAAGAGAUACAAAGAAGUCAAGACAAGGCUUCAUUCUUAACAUGUUUAUAAUCUAGUUUAGGGAAAAGAUCAUGUGUUGAAGUUAAAAAGUUAAAUUGCUCUAUAAGACAAAUAUCGAUACAGUGUAGCCAUGGAGGAACUGUUACAAGAUAAUGCAUAAUUGAUUGGCAAAUUAAUUGUAAAGAAGUAAUUGUUAAAGGAGUUCCUAGAGGGGUAAGUUCCUUCAGUCAGGGUAAUUGGCUUUAUGGAGAAGCUUAGUCCUGGGUGUUGAAGACCAGGUAGGCCUGGGGUAGGUAGAUAGGAGGAGGAGGAGAGAGAGGUGGAAUAUGAAAACCAAACUCAGAGUAGGAAUGUGCAAGGUGAUUUGAAGGACCCUAGUUCAGUGGGUGUGGAAUGGAAGAGACAGAGCUGGAAAGAUACUUGACUCUUAAAAAAGCUCCCCCCCCAAGAUUUUUUACCUUUUUAAAAAUUGAAAUAUAGUUUAUUUGCAAGGUUAUAUUCAUUUCAGGUAGA